AACGAACGCUGGCGGCAUGCCUAACACAUGCAAGUCGAACGAGACCUUCGGGUCUAGUGGCGCACGGGUGCGUAACGCGUGGGAACCUGCCCUUAGGUUCGGAAUAACUCCCCGAAAGGGGUGCUAAUACCGGAUAAUGUCUUCGGACCAAUGAUUUAUCGCCUUUGGAUGGGCCCGCGUUGGAUUAGCUAGUUGGUAGGGUAAAAGCCUACCAAGGCGACGAUCCAUAGCUGGUCUGAGAGGAUGAUCAGCCACACUGGGACUGAGACACGGCCCAGACUCCUACGGGAGGCAGCAGUGGGGAACAUUGGACAAUGGGCGAAAGCCUGAUCCAGCAAUGCCGCGUGAGUGAUGAAGGCCUUAGAGUUGUAAAGCUCUUUUACCCGGGAUGAUAAUGACAGUACCGGGAGAAUAAGCUCCGGCUAACUCCGUG
rnacentral:rRNA from 1 species